rnacentral:rRNA from 1 species
UGGGGAAUUUUGGACAAUGGGCGCAAGCCUGAUCCAGCCAUGCCGCGUGCAGGAUGAAGGCCCUCGGGAUGUAAACUGCUUUUGUACGGAACGAAAAGCCUCUUUCUAAUAAAGAGGGGUGAAGACGGUACCGUAAGAAUAAGCACUGGCUAACUACGUGCCAGCAGCCGCGGUAAUACGUAGGGUGCGAGCGUUAAUCGGAAUUACUGGGCGUAAAGCGUGCGCAGGCGGUCUUGCAAGACAGUGGUGAAAUCCCCGGGCUCAACCUGGGAACUGCCAUUGUGACUGCAAGGCUGGAGUACGGCAGAGGGGGAUGGAAUUCCGCGUGUAGCAGUGAAAUGCGUAGAUAUGCGGAGGAACACCGAUGGCGAAGGCAGUCCCCUGGGCCUGUACUGACGCUCAUGCACGAAAGCGUGGGGAGCAAACA